rnacentral:lncRNA from 1 species
CACAAUUUAUCUAGCACUUUUGAUAUUUCUUCGAGCACUUUAUCACAGGCUAUCCCGUCAACAUUAGAACACUUGGUUAAUUCCAUCUUCACAACAGCUUCAUUUGUUCCUGUUAAGAUAACAGAAACACAAUAUAUUCAAGAUAAACAAUACAACGUCCUUAAGAUAUUUGACAUGGUAAGAGAAAUAUUAAGUUCUAACAAAAUUGCACUAUCUGCCUAAAAAGGAAUUCGAAACCACGAGUAGUAAAAAACAAUCCAUUGAUAGGUCAUCUUGAAAUUACUCACAACAACAAUAAUGCAUACACAAGUAAGGUAAUAAAGAACAAAUGUAUAAACAAUCAAACAUUAUAGAAAAAAUAGAAGUGACAGACACUUACACAAAUGUAACAUAUCUGAAAUUGAUGAAGGCUGCAACUCUUUCUUGCACUCCACAUACUAAAAUACUCUACAAUCUUACGUGUGUUCUCAUCAACGCAUAAUCUGUGGCCACACAAUCAACGACAUAAUCAAAACACUUCCAUAAUCUGGAUGUAUUUGAAAUGAUAGUUAACUCAAGAUUAUAUUCUCUACUAAACAUAGCAGUUUGUGGUGUUUGUGGUGCAGGGCUCCCUGUUCACCAAACCAUGUUCACCAAAGAUUGCGAUGGUGAAAAAGGCAUCUUCUAAUAGACAUCUAUGUUUGGGAAACUUCACAAACAACAAUUCAUGCACAAAGAAAUCAAGAGUUGUUCAAUACUAAUUCCGUAAAAACAAUAAAAUUAAGAAACUUAACUUGAAUCAAUCAACAUAAUCAAACAAGAAAUUGGUAAUAGAGAAACAUGCCAUGUUUUAAUUAAGUUUCAGUUGAGAGAUACCUUCUAAACUGGAGACUAUUCUGUGAACAUGACUUCAUAACCUGACAUUUUGCAUGUCCUACACAGAAGAAUUUCCAUCAAAACUUCUUUUAUAAUAAUCAGUUGCAUUUUCAUAUAAACUAUAAAUUACUACCAAUUUUCAAGAGUGAGAAAGAUUAAUUACCUUUUAUAGCUUUAAAACCAUGACUGCAUGCUCCUUACUGACACUUCCCUUUGUACACUGUAAAUGGCUCUGGGAAACUGGUACAAGAAGAGUUAUAAAAGUACACUAUAGAAAGGUUAAGUAAUUUUAAUUACUUAAUAAUGUGAUUUAAGUCUUUCGACCAAUAUUUGUAGUGAUUUAAUCUUAACUCGAUCUGAACUACCUAAUUUACAAGCUAAUAGAUUUGAAUUACCUGAGCGAACAAGAACAUGUUGACGAAAAUGCUAACAGAUGAAACAAUUGAAACUCAAGGACAUGACCCGAUGGAUCUGUGUAUACACUUAGAAACAACAACAUAGCUUGGUAAAUUUGAGUAAAAUUUGGCUGGUAAGGUGCAAAAUGAUAUGCGUUACUGCUGUGAAACUAAUGAAACAUCAGAAACCAAGCAACUUCAUUAAUUGUAGUAUGUAUAUGUAGUAUUUAAAUAAAGCAUAAAAAGUGUUAUGUGAGAAAUGGAAAUAAGCAAAGCCUAAGAUAUGAAUUAUACUUAAUAUAGAAUCGCAAAAAAUUGUAUGCAUAACAUUCGCCAGAUAACUCUCAGGUUCUAAUAGUAGUUUUGUUUCUAAGGAUAUGUUUAGUUUGGUAUUGAAAAGGAUAUCAAAAUUCUACACAUGUCUUUCUCAUAAAGAUGAUGAGCAACCCAAAGAGGAAAAACAUAAAGUCCCAAGCUGCAGAUAGAGUGAGUGAAAGAAUCUUUACAUAUACUUACUUCUAAGCUUAUUAGAUCAAUUUAAAAUAUAAAGAUAUGCAUAUUGCAAUCAAUAACUAGUUUCACUUUUUUCUACUACUCGAUAACACCUAUGGAACCUUCAGAAAUUCAAAAAUGAGAAAUGAUGAACGAAACUCCACUAAAAUGUAGUGUAAUUCAUACAAAAUGUGAACUCGAAACUACUCUUUUUGCAACUCAAAUCAACAAAACAAACUAACUCUUCUUCCUGGAAAGAGACAUGAAACCUUAUACUGUGUACAAGAAUCUCAAUUUCCAUUAUAAAUAGGCGCACAUAAAUAAUCAUGUCGUCUAACAACUACUGCGAUCAAUUAGUCAAAAAAGAAUGAAUAGAAUUUUGUUAAACAUUAAUGAUAGCAAUAAUGAUGAUAGCAAUUUACCUGAAUUUUUUCUCAAUGAAGAAGGGCCUGCUCCCUGUUCACUGCAUCAAAUCUGUUGGAUCACUAUAGAGGUAUCAAAUUUGAUCACUCUUCAAUUGCCAUUAAAUUUAAUUCCCAAAUGCAUAACAAUAGGAAAAGGUCCAACUUUUUCAUAAUU